rnacentral:lncRNA from 1 species
UCCGCAUCUUUUGUGUCACCAUUCAUUCCACCGCCUUGUUUCUUUGGAGUUUUACGUUCCAUUGAAGUCAAGGAUUAUCCCUGUCAAUUCAGAGUGCUGAGUCCUUGGGAGAUUCUCAUCAUUUGGUAUCAGGUCACACUCUGAGUUCGGUUUACUAUCAUUCUAUCAUUUUUCUUAUUGUUUCACUUAGCAAGAUUUGGGGAUAAAUCUUUUUGAAGAGGAGGAGUAUGAUGUGAUCUUGGGCUGAUUUAUGAAGUUCUGGACAUGUAAAAUAUUCAGAAAUCAACCCAUGAUGUUAGCUAACAUGUCCGGUCCAUUUUUAUGAAGUUACAAGUCCAAGAAGAAUGAAAAUCAAGUGGUUUCUUUACUGUCCAAAAAAGUGACGAAAAUUAAAAAUUAAAUUGCAUUGAAAGCUUCUUUCUCUUGCAUGCAAAGAAUGCUUGUUUCAAGAACACUCACUCUCCUC